GACGAACGCUGGCGGCGUGCUUAACACAUGCCAGUCGAACGAAGUGGCGAACGGGUGAGUAACGCGUAAUCAACCUGCCCUUCAGAGGGGGACAACAGUUGGAAACGACUGCUAAUACCGCAUACUGAAGGAGGGGAGUGCGUCUGAUUCGCUAGUUGGAGGGGUAACGGCCCACCAAGGCGAUGAUCAGUAGCCGGUCUGAGAGGUUGAACGGGCACAUGGGGACUGAGACACGGCCCAGACUCCUACGGGAGGCAGCAGUGGGGAAGCUUCCGCAAUGGACGAAAGUCAGGGAGAGCAACGCCGCGUGAGUGAUGACGGCCUUCGGGUUGUAAAGCUCUGUUGAUCGGGACGCGGUACCGGAAUAGAAAGCCACGGCUAACUACGUGCCAGCAGCCGCGGUAAUA
rnacentral:rRNA from 1 species